AUUGAACGCUGGCGGCAUGCCUUACACAUGCAAGUCGAACGGUAACAGGUCUUCGGAUGCUGACGAGUGGCGAACGGGUGAGUAAUACAUCGGAACGUGCCUAGUAGUGGGGGAUAACUACUCGAAAGAGUGGCUAAUACCGCAUGAGAUCUACGGAUGAAAGCAGGGGAUCGCAAGACCUUGUGCUACUAGAGCGGCCGAUGGCAGAUUAGGUAGUUGGUGGGAUAAAAGCUUACCAAGCCGACGACCUGUAGCUGGUCUGAGAGGACGAUCAGCCACACUGGGACUGAGACACGGCCCAGACUCCUACGGGAAGCAGCAGUGGGGAAUUUUGGACAAUGGGCGAAAGCCUGAUCCAGCAAUGCCGCGUGCAGGAUGAAGGCCUUCGGGUUGUAAACUGCUUUUGUACGGAACGAAAAGCCCCGGGUUAAUACCCUGGGGUCAUGACGGUACCGUAAGAAUAAGCACCGGCUAACUACGUGCCAGCAGCCGCAGUAA
rnacentral:rRNA from 1 species